rnacentral:misc_RNA from 1 species
GAAAUGCGAUAAGUAGUGUGAAUUGCAGAAUUCAGUGAAUCAUCGAAUCUUUGAACGCACAUUGCGCCCGCCAGUAUUCUGGCGGGCAUGCCUGUCCGAGCGUCAUUUCAACCAUCAAGCCCCCGGGCUUGUGUUGGGGACCUGCGGCUGCCCGCAGGCCCUGAAAACCAGUGGCGGGCUCGCUGUCACACCGAGCGUAGUAGCAAUCACCUCGCUCAGGGCGUGCUGCGGGUUCCGGCCGUUAAACAGCCUUACAAAACCCAAGGUUGACCUCGGAUCAGGUAGGAAGACCCGCUGAACUUAAGC